rnacentral:rRNA from 1 species
CCUACGGGGGGCAGCAGUGAGGAAUAUUGGUCAAUGGGCGCGAGCCUGAACCAGCCACGUAGCGUGAAGGAUGACUGCCCUACGGGUUGUAAACUCUUUUUAUAAAGAAAUACAGUGAGGCACGUGUGCCUUUUUGUCUGUACUUUAUGAUUAAGGAUCAGCUAACUACGUGCCAGCAGCCGCGGUAAUACGGAGGAUCCGAGCGUUAUCCGGAUUUAUUGGGUUUAAAGGGAGCGUAGAUGGGUUGAUAAGUCAGUUGUGAAAGUUUGCGGCUCAACCGUAAAAUUGCAAUUGAUACUGGCAGCCGUGAGUACAGGAGAGGUAGGCGGAAUUCGUGGUGUAGCGGUGAAAUGCUUAGAUAUCACGAAGAACUCCGAUUGCGAAGGCAGCUGACUAAACUGCCACUGACAGUGAGGCUCGAAAGUGUGGGUAGCAAACAGGAUUAGAUACCCUAGUAGUC